GACGAACGCUGGCGGCGUGCUUAACACAUGCAAGUCGAACGGAAAGGCCCUGCUUUUGUGGGGUGCUCGAGUGGCGAAAGGGUGAGUAACACGUGAGUAACCUGCCCUUGACUUUGGGAUAACUUCAGGAAACUGGGGCUAAUACCGGAUAGGAGCUCCUGCUGCAUGGUGGGGGUUGGAAAGUUUCGGCGGUUGGGGAUAGACUCGCGGCUUAUCAGCUUGUUGGUGGGGUAGUGGCUUACCAAGGCUUUGACGGGUAGCCGGCCUGAGAGGGUGACCGGCCACAUUGGGACUGAGAUACGGCCCAGACUCCUACGGGAGGCAGCAGUGGGGAAUAUUGCACAAUGGGCGGAAGCCUUAUGCAGCAACGCCGCGUGCGGGAUGACGGCCUUCGGGUUGUAAACCGCUUUCGCCUGUGACGAAGCGUGAGUGACGGUAAUGGGUAAAGAAGCACCGGCUAACUACGUG
rnacentral:rRNA from 1 species